CUUACUUAGUUCCCAGAUUUACGACUCGAGGAUGUGUCCAACUGUCACAUUCGUUGUGAACUAAUACUUGUGAGUGAAACUGGCUGCCUUGCAAUGUCAGCCAGCUUCUUAUUAUCGUUCGAAGGCUUGCACUCUAACGGUAUUUUCUCUGAUGGUUAUCUUGAUGUUUCUGCGGACCCUUGUGCAGUGCGCUUGGCCGGUAGAAUAACGCUAGACUCUUUACUCUUGAUUUGCAAGGAGAAGAAGAAGAACUUUCAAAGGGCGUUCUUGUAGCAAAAUAAUUCCGUGCAGUGCGACUGUUUCCUGGGAAUCCAUACAGUUACAGACUCAGUAGUCACUCAGUCACUGUACCGGUAGUAGUCAUGUAGCUUUCUAUCUAUCAUUCCAGCACAGGUCAAAACCCGUGUCGACCGUUGCGCUGUGCUUGUCGCAGUGUCCUCGCCCUCGGCACCCAGAAAUCAGUGUCCAGACUAUAAUUUUGUAGAAUACUGGUAGAGCCUAGAGGUGCUUGUUCCCAGCUCUUCAGACUUCACAGACUCAUCAUCCGGCCACGCUGCGUGUCAAAUUCUAGAUGUACAGUAGAUCUACUUGCCACUUGAAAAUAACGUUGCUGGCCCGCAGAAACAGCGGCACAGCUGAUCAUUACGGUUCACUGAAGCCAAGUCAAUGCCGAUUAUGACGGAGUAACGGAACAGUUCGACGGACAACGAUACUCGACGAUAGUCAUGGCUGUACUGGCUUCGGGCAUCGGCAUUUCGAAGCAUAGGAGAUCGAUGCCGACGUGUGUCCCAACAGGCAACAGCUUACCAGGGUCUGCCAAACUGAUCGAUCGAGCAUGGAUGUGUGGGGAUGGGAUGCAGCCCGUUCCUGCUAGCGCUGUCUUAUCGAAAAAAGGAAAUGAGCACUCACGACAUCAAGAAAAUAACCAAAUGAUGCCAGCGGCAAUCAUCGCGUCGAAGUGGAGAUUGUGGAAUUGUGGUUGCAUUUUUACUUCGGUUUUCAGCAUGAUUCUGUUCCCAAUUAUAAUUAUUUCUUUCCGUUUCUUCUCUGAAGUGUGAUUGUUUCAUAACAACUAAUCUGCUUUGUGAUCCCAUAUUUCUGCUUGCCAACAAACUUGUCCAUUAUUGCAUUUCUUCUCGUAAGGCCAAAACAAGAUGCCUAUUACAUCCA